AGAGUUUGAUCMSNSUGGCUCAGGAUGAACGCUGGCGGCGUGCCUAACACAUGCAAGUCGAGCGAUCUCUUCGGAGAGAGCGGCGGACGGGUGAGUAACGCGUGGGUAACCUGCCCUGUACACACGGAUAACAUACCGAAAGGUAUGCUAAUACGGGAUAACAUAUGAAAUUCGCAUGUUUUUCAUAUCAAAGCUUUUGCGGUACAGGAUGGACCCGCGUCUGAUUAGCUGGUUGGUGAGGUAACGGCUCACCAAGGCGACGAUCAGUAGCCGACCUGAGAGGGUGAUCGGCCACAUUGGAACUGAGACACGGUCCAAACUCCUACGGGAGGCAGCAGUGGGGAAUAUUGCACAAUGGGCGCAAGCCUGAUGCAGCAACGCCGCGUGAGCGAUGAAGGCCUUCGGGUCGUAAAGCUCUGUCCUCAAGGAAGAUAAUGACGGUACUUGAGGAGGAAGCCCCGGCUAACUACGUGCCAGCAGCCGCGGUAAUACGUAGGGGGCUAGCGUUAUCCGGAUUUACUGGGCGUAAAGGGUGCGUAGGCGGUCCUUCAAGUCAGGAGUCAAAGGCUACGGCUCAACCGUAGUAAGCUCCUGAUACUGUGGGACUUGAGUGCAGGAGAGGAAAGCGGAAUUCCUAGUGUAGCGGUGAAAUGCGUAGAUAUUAGGAGGAACACCAGUAGCGAAGGCGGCUUUCUGGACUGUAACUGACGCUGAGGCACGAAAGCGUGGGGAGCAAACAGGAUUAGAUACCCUGGUAGU
rnacentral:rRNA from 1 species